UCUGCAAUGUGCUUGCCCCUUCAUAUGUGUCUGAUCCAGUUUACUUUCGGGGACGUCGGUCAUCACCAUUGGAAUCCAGACACACACCAUGAAACGAACAAAGCCUAAAGCUGACUUCGCAGAUAAGGAAACUGAACUGAAGGGCAGAAACCAAGUGAAGAGAAUCCUGGCAGGCCCAUCAGCAGCAUAGGCAGGGCCAGAAACACAGACUCAGCCUUGCAGAACUACAUUGAGAUGCAGGUG
rnacentral:lncRNA from 1 species